GUUCCGAGCGUUAUCCGGAUUUAUUGGGUUUAAAGGGAGCGUAGGCGGGUUGUUAAGUCAGUUGUGAAAGUUUGCGGCUCAACCGUAAAAUUGCAGUUGAUACUGGCGACCUUGAGUGCAACAGAGGUAGGCGGAAUUCGUGGUGUAGCGGUGAAAUGCUUAGAUAUCACGAAGAACUCCGAUUGCGAAGGCAGCUUACUGGAUUGUAACUGACGCUGAUGCUCGAAAGUGUGGGUAUCAAACAGGAUUAGAUACCCUGGUAGUCCACACAGUAAACGAUGAAUACUCGCUGUUGGCGAUAUACAGUCAGCGGCCAAGCGAAAGCAUUAAGUAUUCCACCUGGGGAGUACGCCGGCAACGGUGAAACUCAAAGGAAUUGACGGGGGCCCGCACAAGCGGAGGAACAUGUGGUUUAAUUCGAUGAUACGCGAGGAACCUUACCCGGGCUUAAAUUGCAACUGACGGAAUCGGAAACGGUUCUUUCUUCGGACAGUUGUGAAGGUGCUGCAUGGUUGUCGUCAGCUCGUGCCGUGAGGUGUCGGCUUAAGUGCCAUAACGAGCGCAACCCUUACGGGUAGUUACCAUCAGUUAUGCUGGGGACUCU
rnacentral:rRNA from 1 species